UACAGAGGUCCCGAGCGUUGUUCGGAUUCAUUGGGCGUAAAGGGUGCGUAGGCGGUCUGCUAAGUUUGAUGUGAAAUUCCAGGGCUCAACCCUGGCAUGGCAUUGAAUACUGGCGGACUAGAGUACUGGAGAGGAAACUGGAAUUUACGGUGUAGCAGUGAAGUGCGUAGAGAUCGUAAGGAAGACCAGUGGCGAAGGCGAGUUUCUGGACAGUAACUGACGCUGAGGCACGAAGGCCAGGGGAGCAAACGGG
rnacentral:rRNA from 1 species